rnacentral:rRNA from 1 species
UGGGCGAAAGCCUGACCGAGCGACGCCGCGUGAGCGAUGAAGGCCAUUAGGUUGUAAAGCUCUGUCGAGGGGGAACAAGCCGCAAGGUUGAGUGAUCCCUGGAGGAAGCACGGGCUAAGUUCGUGCCAGCAGCCGCGGUAAGACGAACCGUGCGAACGUUGUUCGGAAUCAUUGGGCUUAAAGGGCGCGUAGGCGGGUGUUCAAGUCCGGGGUGAAAGCCUCCAGCUCAACUGGAGAAGAGCCCCGGAUACUGUUCACCUGGAGAGAGAUAGGGGCACAUGGAACUUCCGGUGGAGCGGUGAAAUGCGUAGAGAUCGGAAGGAACGCCGGUGGCGAAAGCGAUGUGCUGGAUCUUUUCUGACGCUGAGGCGCGAAAGCUAGGGGAGCAAACGGGAUUAGAUACCCCGGUAGUCCUAGCCCUAAACGAUGGGUACUGGGUUGCGGGUCAGACAUAGACUCGCAGCCGAAGCAAAAGUGUUAAGUACCCCGCCUGGGGA